rnacentral:rRNA from 1 species
AUUGAACGCUGGCGGCAGGCCUAACACAUGCAAGUCGAGCGGAUGAAGGGAGCUUGCUCCUAGAUUCAGCGGCGGACGGGUGAGUAAUGCCUAGGAAUCUGCCUGGUAGUGGGGGAUAACGUCCGGAAACGGGCGCUAAUACCGCAUACGUCCUGAGGGAGAAAGUGGGGGAUCUUCGGACCUCACGCUAUCGGAUGAGCCUAGGUCGGAUUAGCUAGUUGGUGGGGUAAAGGCCUACCAAGGCGACGAUCCGUAACUGGUCUGAGAGGAUGAUCAGUCACACUGGAACUGAGACACGGUCCAGACUCCUACGGGAGGCAGCAGUGGGGAAUAUUGGACAAUGGGCGAAAGCCUGAUCCAGCCAUGCCGCGUGUGUGAAGAAGGUCUUCGGAUUGUAAAGCACUUUAAGUUGGGAGGAAGGGCAGUAAGUUAAUACCUUGCUGUUUUGACGUUACCAACAGAAUAAGCACCGGCUAACUUCGUG